UGAAGGAACUAGGCAAAUUUCUUUUCGCCUGUUUAAUAAAAACAUGGCUUUUUGAGAAUAAUAUAAGGUCGGACCUGCCCAAUGAUAAUUUAAAUGGCUGCGGUAUAUUGACCGUGCAAAGGUAGCAUAAUCAUUAGUUUUUUUAUUGAAAGCUGGAAUGAAGGGUUUAACGAGAAAGAAGCUGUCUUAAUUUAAUUAUUUGAAUUUUAUAUUUGAGUGAGAAAGCUUAAAUUGGUUUGAGGGACGAGAAGACCCUAUAGAAUUUAAUAGUUCAAUUAUAUUAGGAGUUUGGGUUAAAAAAAUUAGUAUAACAAGAAUUAAUUUGUUGGGGUGAUGGGAAAAUUUGAAUAACUUUUUUUAAUAAAUUUUCAUUAGUAUAUGAUUAUAUGAUCCAUUAAAAGUGAUUAAAAGAAAAAAUUACCUUAGGGAUAACAGCGUAAUUAAUCUGGAGAGCUCAAAUCGAUAGAUUAGAUUGCGACCUCGAUGUUGGAUUAAAAUUAACUUCUGGUGGAGAGACUAGAAAGCUAAGUCUGUUCGACUUUUAAAAUUUUACAUGAUCUGAGUUUAAACCGGCGUGAGCCAGGUUGGUUUCUAUCUUU
rnacentral:rRNA from 1 species